AAACUGUUUAAAUUAAAUAUUAUAAUGGUAUAAUGUAAUAUAAUACUGUUGUGCAUAGAAUAAUGUUGUGCCAUUUUUAAAAUAGAGUAAAAUUUAAUUAUUAUUUUGAAAUUGUUAUUAACAGUUCCGUAACUAGGAAGGUACAACGGGUGAGUCCAGAACAAAGAGAGGCCCUAAAAUGGAGUAUCAAAAAACGUUGCAGACAUCGCAGAAACUAACGAAAGCAAGAAAUCAAGACAUCUGACCACCGACGAAUUAAUUUCAAAUGCAUUCCUUUUUCUACUUUUAAAAUACGAAACUAAAAGUACAGCUCUUGCUUUCUGCACCAUGAUGCUGGUUAACUAUCCGGAAGUGCAAGAGAAUAUCAGAGGAGAAGUAAAUGGACUGCUCGGGAGAGAGUAUGUCUUAA